GAGGAUCAUCCUGCAUACACAGUGCGGCGGUUGUUGGAUGUUCGCCGGCGAGGUAGGGGGUUCCAGUAUCUGGUGGACUGGGAGGGUUAUGGCCCCGAGGAGCGGUCCUGGGUUCCCCGUUCCCAUAUCCUGGAUCCACAACUUAUUCGGGAGUUCCACCAGGCUCGCCCAGAAGGCUCCGGGAGGGUCGCCAGGAGGCGCCCAUUAGAGGGGGGGUACUGUCAUAGUUAGCCACUAUGCCCCCUGAUCCUUUUGUCCUCUUCUGUAUCUGCCUUCCCCUGUGUUUCCUGGCGGUCCCCUGUCCAUCUUGUUUGUGUGUGUGUGUGUGUGUGUGUGUCUGGGUUCUGGGCUGGUUUCCAGAUCUCCCGGCUGCUAUUGAUUACCGGCACACCUGAUCAUCAUCAUCAUCAUCAACCACCACAGUUAUCUACCGGGCUCAUCCACACUUCCAGCGCCAGAUCGUCUUCGUACCCAACCUCUGUGCUGCCGGUGAUCACUUCCCUGUGCCACGGCCAUCGGACUCUAGUCUCAGUCUCAGCGUGUCUUCACCCGAUCAGCCCAGCCUUCAACCACGCCAGCCAGUCCAGAACCCGCUUCCCUGGUCUCCGCUCAACGCACCACUCUCCAGCCUCCGUCCAGUCCGGUCGAACUCUCCGUGCUACAACGCACUUCGCCAGACACGCCGCGAUCUCCUGAUCUUUCCACACAAUAAAACUGUUCAGACCUUGA